rnacentral:rRNA from 1 species
UACGUAGGGGGCAAGCGUUGUCCGGAUUUAUUGGGCGUAAAGAGCGUGUAGGCGGCCAGACAGGUCCGUUGUGAAAACUCGAGGCUCAACCUCGAGACGUCGACGGAAACCGUCUGGCUAGAGUCCGGAAGAGGAGUGUGGAAUUCCUGGUGUAGCGGUGAAAUGCGCAGAUAUCAGGAAGAACACCUAUGGCGAAGGCAGCACUCUGGGACGGUACUGACGCUGAGACGCGAAAAGCGUGGGGGAGCGAACAGG